GACGAACCACACGAACGUUAUUCGGAAUCACUGGGCUUAAAGGGUGCGUAGGCUGCGCAGAAAGUUGGGUGUGAAAUACCUCGGCUCAACCGAGGAACUGCGCCCAAAACUACUGUGCUUGAGGGAGACAGAGGUGAGCGGAACUUAGGGUGGAGCGGUGAAAUGCGUUGAUAUCCUAAGGAACACCCGUGGCGAAAGCGGCUCACUGGGUCUCUUCUGACGCUGAGGCACGAAAGCUAGGGUAGCGAACGGG
rnacentral:rRNA from 1 species